UCCUCGGCACCAUAUAUAAAACGCUGAACUCAAAAACACGAAAAAGGAAAAACGAAGAAGAGAAAAAACAAAGGCGUUAAGUCAUUUUCCUCUUUGCUCUUCUGAGAUUCAGAUCCAAAUAUCCACAAAAGAAGGAAACGUGGGAGGGAGCUGAACAAUCUUGAAAAUGGCGACGGUGUCUCCUCUGGCUAAAUACAAGCUGGUCUUCCUGGGCGAUCAGUCCGUCGGAAAAACCAGCAUCAUCACCCGCUUCAUGUACGACAAAUUCGAUACCACCUAUCAGGCUACGAUUGGGAUUGAUUUUCUGUCGAAAACGAUGUACCUUGAAGAUCGGACAGUUCGUU